GACGAACGCUGGCGGCGUGCCUAAUACAUGCAAGUCGAGCGGAAUGAUGAAGAAGCUUGCUUCUUCUGAUUUUAGCGGCGGACGGGUGAGUAACACGUGGGCAACCUACCUUGUAGAUUGGGAUAACUCCGGGAAACCGGGGCUAAUACCGAAUAAUCCAUUUCGCUUUAUGGCGGAAUGUUAAAAGGCGGCUUUUAGCUGUUCGUGCACGAUGGGCCCGCGGCGCAUUAGCUAGUUGGUAGGGUAACGGCCUACCAAGGCGACGAUGCGUAGCCGACCUGAGAGGGUGAUCGGCCACACUGGGACUGAGACACGGCCAAGACUCCUACGGGAGGCAGCAGUAGGGAAUCUUCCACAAUGGACGAAAGUCUGGUGGAGCAACGCCGCGUGAGUGAAGAAGGUUUUCGGAUCGUAAAACUCUGUUGUAAGGGAAGAACACGUACGAGAGUAACUGCUCGUACCUUGACGGUACCUUAUUAGAAAGCCACGGCUAACUACGUGCCAGCCGCCGCCGUAAAAC
rnacentral:rRNA from 1 species